GACGAACCGUGCGAACGUUAUUCGGAAUCAUUGGGCUUAAAGGGCUCGUAGGCGGUUUGUCACGUCAGGAGUGAAAACUCGGGGCUCAACCCCGAGCCUGCUUCUGAUACGGGCAGACUAGAGGUAUGCAGGGGAGAACGGAAUUCCUGGUGUAGCGGUGAAAUGCGCAGAUAUCAGGAGGAACACCGGUGGCGAAGGCGGGUCUCUGGGCCGAUACUGACGCUGAGGAGCGAAAGCGUGGGGAGCGAACAGG
rnacentral:rRNA from 1 species